rnacentral:rRNA from 1 species
UACGUAGGGGGCAAGCGUUGUCCGGAAUCAUUGGGCGUAAAGAGCGUGUAGGCGGCCCGAUAAGUCCGCUGUGAAAGUCCAGGGCUCAACCCUGGAAUGCCGGUGGAUACUGUCGGGCUGGAGUCCGGAAGAGGCGAGUGGAAUUCCUGGUGUAGCGGUGAAAUGCGUAGAUAUCUGGAGGAACACCGGUGGCGAAGGCGGCAUCCUGGACCAACACUGACGCUGAGGAGCGAAAGCCAGGGGAGCAAACGGG